GACGAACGCUGGCGGCGUACUUAACACAUGCAAGUCGAACGGAAAGGCCCUGCUUUUGUGGGGUGCUCGAGUGGCGAACGGGUGAGUAACACGUGAGUAACCUGCCCUUGACUUUGGGAUAACUUCAGGAAACUGGGGCUAAUACCGGAUAGGAGCUCCUGCUGCAUGGUGGGGGUUGGAAAGUUUCGGCGGUUGGGGAUGGACUCGCGGCUUAUCAGCUUGUUGGUGGGGUAGUGGCUUACCAAGGCUUUGACGGGUAGCCGGCCUGAGAGGGUGACCGGCCACAUUGGGACUGAGAUACGGCCCAGAAUCCUACGGGAGGCAGCAGUGGGGAAUAUUGCACAAUGGGCGGAAGCCUGAGGCAGCAACGCCGCGUGCGGAAUGACGGCCUUCGGGUUGUAAACCGCUUUCGCCUGUGACGAAGCGUGAGUGACGGUAAUGGGUAAAGAAGCACCGGCUAACUACGUG
rnacentral:rRNA from 1 species